UUCGAGGCUUUUUUUAAAGCCACACAUCUUCACCGUUCCUUUGUGG
rfam:Necator americanus N_americanus-1.0_Cont1343.7, whole genome shotgun sequence.